rnacentral:rRNA from 1 species
CGUCGGACGACUCGCCGUCGUACGUGGGGUAGUAACAACCUGGAAACAGGUGCUAAUACCGCAUAAGCGCGCUGUGCCGCAUGGCGCGGCGCGGAAAACCCCGGUGGUACAGGAUGGGCCCGCGUCUGAUUAGCUGGUUGGCAGGGUAACGGCCUACCAAGGCGACGAUCAGUAGCCGGCCUGAGAGGGUGGACGGCCACACUGGGACUGAGACACGGCCCAGACUCCUACGGAAGGCAGCAG